rnacentral:tRNA from 3 species
GCCUCCGUAGCUCAGUGAAUAGAGCGGCGGCUUUCUAAUCCGCGGGUCGCAAGUUUGAAUCUUGCCGGGGGCA